rnacentral:rRNA from 1 species
UACAUAGGGGGCAAGCGUUAUCCGGAAUUACUGGGUGUAAAGGGUGCGUAGGCGGUUAGGAAAGUCAGAUGUGAAACCCCAUGGCUCAACUGUGGGCAUGCAUUUGAAACUUCUUGACUAGAGUACAGGAGAGGUAAGUGGAAUUCCUAGUGUAGCGGUUAAAUGCGUAGAUAUUAGGAAGAACACCAGUGGCGAAAGCGACUUACUGGACUGAAACUGACGCUGAGGCACGAAAGCGUGGGGAGCGAACAGG